GGAGACGGACGGCGGGGGCGCUCUGGUGCAGCGCGGCGGCGGCACAAGGGAGCGGGUAGGGUUAGCAGCGGAGCCCCGAGCCCCUCUCGACUUCAGUAUAGAUUUUUCGCUAGAAUUUACAUAUGCAUGCUCCACAACCUAUGUUCGUACAAACACAGAUCAUAUGGAACGAGAAAUAUGCUCUGGUCGGAAAGCAGAGUCGUGGACAAAAGUGAAGUUCACAAAUGACCAUCAUACAUAGGCCAUUGUUUCAACUUGUAGUUUAGGCCUUGCCGGACUCCUCGCAACCUGGUGGCCUGAAGGCGAUGAAGCUGACGCACUGCACCUGGCGCAGGUUGUCGAAGCCGAUGACACGGACAUAGGCAUCAGGGUACUCCUUCUUGACCUCCUCCACCUCGUUGAGCACCUGCGUGGCGUCGGUGCACCCGAACAUAGGCAGCUUCCACAUUGUCCAGUAUCGACCGUCGUAGUACCCGGGAGAGCUGUUGUGCUCACGGAAGACGAAGCCAACCUUGCUGAACUCGAGGCAGGGCACCCACUUGGAGCGGAUCAGGUAGUCUACCUGCUUUAGGAGGGCCUCUGUGGAGAGGGGUGGCAAGUAAGACAGGGUCUCGAACUUCUUGAUACCCUCAAUCGGCCACACCUGAAUGGAUGGAAAUUAUGGAAUGCACACAACUGCUUAACACUUGGUGCUAGUAAAUUGUACGUACUGAGGAAGAAACUCAUAUCAGUUUUGUGCCUCUGACAUACCUGCAUGCACCUGAUCCUUCCGCCAUUGCUGACGCGGCCGAGGCUGCCGCUGGAGCGGCGGCUGACGGGCAGACCGGCUGUGGACUUGAGCCCCUGGAAGGGUGCGACGGUGGUAGCCGACGAAGCCAUCACGGCGGGGGCCAUGGUAUUGUAUUAUCGGAGGAGAGGAGGAUGCCGGCUACAGGUGAGGCCCCCAUUGCCGGGUCACUACGGUAUAUAUAGCCAGACACUUAGCGCCGUUUCUUUGGUACAGAUGUGGUUGGGGUGGCUGACGUUCUCUGGUUGCCUCGUUUCCUUAUCUUCUCCGGAUCAGUGGAAGAAGCAUGGCCGUCGGAUGCAUUGUGUGUGCUGGAAAUUUCAGUCCUUCAUGUCAUUGGGUGGCUGCCACACAACCUUUUUCCAGCUUUUCUUGUUUUUGGUUUCAUUUGAAGCCAAAAGUUUCUUGAGUACAAAUUUUCUGAGAUGCGACUUGAGUGGUGGUGUGGGCAAAAUAUUUUACAUUUUAUCAUAAGAUCUGAUGGCUCACUCCCUUGAAAGUAUGCCUAUAGGCAUAGAGUGUGCGUGUGUGCAUUUAUAGGGGGUGUUAUACAUGCGCGUAUGCGAAUGUCUACUUUUGUACACCGUUUCUCAAAAUAAAAUAUAUGUUUUGUUGGUACAAUUAAUUGACCUAGCAUAGUAACCUCCACACGUAGAACAAGUUCUUUCCCCUCUCGCAAGGUAACUAUUGAAAGCUUUCCACCCCUCUAUAUCCGCCAGUGAGCCUGUGGAUCCGCCUCCCCUCUGCGGGAAGGGGGAUUCCUGGUGCCUCGGCUCUGGCUAAUAAACAAGUAGAAUUUUAGUCCUCAUGGGUGAGGUGCUUGGACGGAUGGCGGUCUUUCUUCUUCGAGCCAAUCUUUCGGGAUCCUAUCCUCUUCAAGUUCCUCUGUCGGGGGAGCUCCGACGUAGACUCCUGCCAGUUCCUCAGGCGGUGAGGUUAGGAUUUCUCAUCAUGCGUACGCACAAUGAGAUUUGGUGUCAGGUUCUUUAAAUCGAUUCAGGGAUUCAACAGCGAUGGCUGCGGCUCCGGAGCACUGGUCCUUAGGGGCAUGUGCAUGGAGACUUCCUGACUGUCAUCGACAAAGUCAAGGUAGCUCUAGAGUGGGAGCAACGACAACGGUGCAUUAGUGGCUUGUCUCUGUGCGUAGGAACGAAAAGAAAGCCCUAUAUCUCAAAUUUUUGACAACUCUCCGUGACAAUGGGCAUAACUUAUUUUAAACAUCAGUGGGUAGGAACAAAAAGCUCUAUAUGUCAACUAUUAACAUGUAUGGCUAAAUAUGUACCUUGCAUUAUAGGAUAUGGCAAUCGAUCAAAAAGGUGGGCAGUCUCUCACGUAACAUUGUCUCUCAAGUAGGGCUGCAAAUGAGUCGAGUUCGAGCGAGUUGGACUUGCCUCAGCUCAACUCAUAUUAAAAUUCGAGCGAGCUCAAACUGAGUGAAGCUCAAGGUCAAGUUGUAGAACGUGACUCAUGCUUAACUUGUAAGAUCUUGAGUCGAUCUCGAGCUAGUUUCGAGUUAAAUGAGAUGAUAAAAUCUAUUAAAUUUAUGACUAUUAUUCCAACUAGAUAAGCACAACACGACAUAAAAAGGCACAAAAAAUAUUUUUUCAAUCAGAACAAUGAUAAUACAAUUUUCUUUUGAAAUGAUACAAAUUUUGUUAGAAGUAGUUUAACUUAUUCUAUCACAACCGAAAGUCUAGUAUCAACUAAGAUAACGAUUCACGAAGGUGCAUAUGCUAGGAACUUUUAGCAGAAACAACAGAAUAUUUAACACAUGACCGACCAUGUACCAUAAAAAAGCCUAAAUUUUCUCUACAACUAAUUAAGCUUCGAUGUCUGUUUGUAAACAAAAUGGUGAAAAAUCCAGGAUGACACAUAUGGUAUUAAAUUAUCGUAUUUUCAUUUAUUAUAUGGAAUGAUCAUUUAACAUAAUGAUAUUAGGCCGAGCUAUCGAGCUAAAAUCGAGCGAGCCAGUAUUGGCUCAAGAUCGGCCCAUUUCUUGAAUGAGCUAUAGAAAGUGUUCGUACUCAACUCGUUUCUUUUCAAGUUGAGUCAAAAAACGAGUUGAUCUCGAGCCGCUAUCGAGCCUCAAGCUUUUCUUACAACCUUACUUUCAAGCAGUGUCAUGUUGACACAACUCAAUCAUCCUACUUCUCAUCCCAUAUCAGCGGCGGAUAACGAAAAGACAUUAAUAUCAAAAGGCCUGGACCGAAGGUAAUAAGUUCUAUGGACAACCGCGAUCCCUAGAAUAAUUAUGUUCCUCUCAUGAUAUUGAUGCCCUGUCACCUGGAGGUCUCUCGAUUUGCACGCCUCUCUCCCAUAGCCAACGAUUACUCAAAUAACAUCACAUAUAAAAGAGUUUAAGAGUUGUUACAACCCAUUAGGGAGACCGUGAUGGGGGGACGAGAAGGGGUAUGGGUGAGGACGGAGUGGCGACGGCAGCGCUUCUCCGGCAUUGCCUCCUUCAAGGUUGCAAUGAUAGAGAUGGAGGCUUGGCACAACCCUCAAGUGUUUUUUGAUAUCGAUGGAGCUGGACGUAUGGAUUGUGUCCCCGAGUGGCUAGGGUUGGAGGUGUAUUUAUAAGAACUCUCCAAAGCCUCCUUCGUUGAUGUAGCAUCUCUACUUUGCUCCAAGUGCUCUAGGUGAGCCCAAUCUUUUCCAAAACAUCCCUUGAUGGCAAAGAAAGUAGUAGGAACAUACCGGGACAAAAUCCUUGAGGAAUCCCCGUCUGAAAGGGCAGCUUCUCAUUUUUUUAUGCAUCAAAGGUUGUCAAACGCUUUAGACUCUUUGGUAAAAUCGCCGCAACUUUUACAUCCGAACUCUGUUUUUGACGUUCAUGUGCUCGUUGGAAUGACGAUUACGGCGCCGAUGCACUUGUGGUAUUAGAUAUUGAUUUUGAGCACUUUGGAAAACAACUUUUUUCACUCUCUGAAAUGCCCAAGUCUGGUGUCUCGAUGUCCUUCGUUUGGAUCCUUUUCAUCGUGUUAAGUGAGUGAGAGUUCCACAUUACGUACAAACACACAAAGAAAGAUAAUACUGAUAUGAACAAAUAAAGAAUAAAUAUUAUGCAAUGCUCGCGUUGAAAAUGUUAAAUACUGGAGAUCAUGCAUAUGGGCAUGUAAUUGGCUCAAUGGCACAUGAUAUAUGGAGAUAAUAGGUGACAAAUGAGCUCUAAACGUGCGUAAAAGUAGGAGCUAUCACUUGGAUCAAUUAGAUACUAUCUUGUGGAACACCUUACAUCCUUUUGAAUGGUGUACCUAGUAGGCAAUUCCAAUGAAAACAUGGGAUUCACCAGGGUGACACACCGUUACCACUUCUAUUUUUCUUGGCAGUGGAUUUACUUCAAUCUAUCCUUAGUGACAUGUAUCAUCGCGGGAGCUCUUUUUUCCAAUCCCAUCUCAUGAUCUAAACUCUCCAAUUGUGUAGUAUGUUAAUGAUAUGUUGUUGAUUAUGCCGGAUAUUGAUUCUCAGCUUCUUGACCUAAAAGAAAUGCUACAACUUUUGUCUAAAUCCACUUGCUUGAAAGUGAAUUUUGGUAAAUCCUCCAUGGUUCUUAUAAAUGUGAUUGACGAUGAAGCUUCUCAUUGGCCAGUUUGUUUGAGUGUCAACAGGGUAAGAUGCCUUUCACUUACCUGGUUUACCUAUGGGUAUCACUAGGCUCAAGAUCUAGGACUUAAUGCCUUUGGUUGAUAUAAUGAAAAGGAAAUUGGCAGCUAGCUCUUCUCUGCUCUCACAAGGUGCUAAAUUAAAACUUUUGAGGUCUACCAUUUCAUCUAUACCGACAUACUAUCUUUGUAGUCUCUAGAGUCUAGACCCCCCUUGGUAUAAUUAAACAACUGGAGAGAAUUGAGCAGAAUAUCUCUGGCGUGGCAAUGCUGAUAGCUCAAAUCAACCAUUCGUGAUAUGUCAUCUGGUAUGUAAAUCAAAGGAGAAUGGUGGUAUUGGUAUCAUUAACCGUCAUAUUCAAGACCAACCUUUGCUUACAAAACACUUGCACAAAUUUUAUAAUAAAGUUCAUAUUCCAUGGGUAACUUUGAUAUAUAUUUCUUACUAUCAUGGAGUCAUACCUGAUGUAACAGUCCUUCGUGGUUUUUUUCCGGUGGAGGGAUAUUUUGGAACUUAACGAUCAGUACAUGACAAUCUCUUCAAUCAAAGUUAAUAUUGGCAACUUUGCCCUGUUCUUGUCUGAUGCCUGGUUGAUUGAGGGGUCUUCUCUACCUCUUCGACAUCGUUUGGAAAGGCUCUUUUCAUUGCCUUCUAUGACAAUAAUUCUGUAAGAUUUUACAGAAACCCCUCAUUAGGCCACUCUUUUGCACCUGCCAAUUUCUGCUGAGGCGAUGGAUGAAUUGUAACCUCCGGAUGGUUGGUUACAUAGCCUUAAGGGAAACCCAACCCUGUCUGAUGUUUGUUCUUGGUAAGGAGAAUCAUUUUCCGCCAAAAGCUUCUACUGCAUGAUGCACAAGCACAUGCCCACCGAUGAACCUUGCAAAUGGAUAUGACAGAGCACCAUGAAGAUCAAGAUCUUUGCUUAGAUCCUAUUAUUUUAUCGGUUGAACGCUCGGAAAUUGCUUCUUAGAAGGCACUGACAUUCUGCUCGGAUUGAAACCCAUUGUGCUCACAUGAGCGAAGAGACCACUUGUUUUUCUCCUAUAAUUUUAGUCAAAGAAUUUGGACUUAUUUACAGAUUGAUUGGAGCCCCAGAUGAAACACUAGAUAAUGUAUUGAUGUUGCAUGUAGAUGACGUUUUUUCGUGAAUACACUAAGCAACGUAUCAUUUCAUUGAUAGGUGGAAAGAAAGAGUAUAGGGUGCAGCUCUCACGGGCAUACAUGCAAUGGCGUCCGUGAGAGUGCAGAGCGAGCAGCGGAGGAGGAUGAUCAGCCUCGAUGCCGCAUGGUCAGGUUACAGGGAUGAUUCUAUGUAAUCCUCGAUCGUCGUCCUUGGCCCACCGACGCGCGUCGUCCUUGAUUAGCUGCCCAAGGUCAUCUGUGGAGGGUCCGGCACCGUUGACAAUGGCCGCAUUUCGAUGUUUCCAGAUAGCCCAAGUGGUGAGAGCGAUAAUGAAGUUUAGGCCUCGUCUGAGGCUAUCCGGGGAUGCUGCCGUGGCCUGGAGCCAACAGUCGAAGAAGAUGGUCGAGCCUAGUAUGGGUGGUGUAACCAGCCAACACCAAGAAAGAAUCUCAUGCCAAGUGAACCACGAGAUGACACAACUAGUGAGGAGAUGGUCGAUAGUCUCUAGCUCCUGGGAACAGGAGAUGCACUCUGGAUCGUGCGGGAGGCCGUGCCUUGCACGACGCUUCGCAGUCUAGCACCGAUCGAGGAAUACGAGCCAAAGGAAGAAUUUGUUGGUAAGAGGGGCCCAGCCCUUCCAGAUCAAACGCCAAGCGGGCGGGGAGGUUGAUCCAAAGAAGAGCGCCUUGUAGCAGGAUUUGACGGAGUAGAUACCACUAGCAUUCCAUUUCCAACUGAUUUGGUCCGGGGCAUGACUGAGUUGGAUGCCCUGAAGAUGACGCCAGAGAUCGAUGUAUUGGACCACUUUGAUGGGACCUAGAUUGCAGUGGAUAUCGUGAAUCCACGCUUGCUGGUGAAGGCCAUCAGAAACCAGGGUGCGGCGGUGCCGAUGUCGCGGCACAAGAGCAAGCAGUGCCAGAGCGAGCUUAGAGAUGGUGUCGGUUCUAUAUCCGGCAUAUCUCGUAGUAGGGGUCCUAAGCUAGGCGUCUUGGAGCGAUGGUAACACGGACACAUGGUUUUACCCAGGUUCAGGCUCUCUCGAAGAGAUAAUACCCUACGUCUUGCUUUUGAUUGUAUUCAUAUGGGGGAUAGUACAUAGUACAUGUGUCUACCACGAGAUUGUUCUAAUGAACAUAAGUUGAUCUAAUGACUAGCCUGGCCUCGGUUUAUACAACACACCGGAGGCCUAGGGUUUAGAGGAGUCCUCGUCUUGUGCACCAAAUCUUGUGUAAACCUCCUUGUAUGCGGCAUGGGCUGCCCGAAGUGGCCCAUUAGUACACCGCCAUGGGGGCCCUCGGCACGAUCCAGCUGGUCGAGAGACGACGUGGUGAGUCCCCCCCCCCCGAGUCCAGGACACUGUCAAAUGGCCCUCCCGUCGAGCCAAUGGUUGCACCAGAAACGACAAGUUUUGUCGUCGCCGAGGGUCCAAGUGGUCGACGCACGGAAGAACUGCCUGGUCUCAUCAUCACAAGGCACCUCAAGAUGGUGCCAAGGGAGGGAGGGGUCAGUGGUCUGCAGCCACAGCCAUCGGGCAUGCAAGGAGAUACUGGUGAGGUGGAGAUCGCGCACGCCAAGCCCACCAUACUCCAGCGGGCGACAUACGCGCCUCCAAUUAACAAGGCAACAGCCGGACUUGGCAUCCUUCCUAGCAUGCAAUAGGAAGUCACGAAUGAUCUGGGUGAUUUUCUUGAGGAUCAUUGGGUUGAUGACCAUGAAGAGGAGAAUUUGGACAGGUAUAGCAGACAGGACAUGCCGCACGAGGGCGAGUCGCUCGGUGCGUGAGAGAAGCGAGGCUUUCCAGGUGGCGAGUUUCUUGGUAAGUUUUUCCAACAGUGGGAGGAGCGCCGAUGUGGGAGUCUUGCGGACCGAGAGGGGAAUUGAUGUGGACCAGAUCAUGACCAAGGCAUCCAAGAGUAAGGUUAAUGCUAGCACAAAUGCUGAACCAUUCGAGCAUCUAAAUGAAGACAAGGUCAAAACCAUUAUCUUUGUUGGGAAGCUUCCGGUGCCUAUUUUGGGAGAAAUGACACAUCAGAUUUCCAGCAGCAACUUCCCACCUAAACCUAAUUAAUUCUGGAAGUCUCUAGCACUUUAUAGAGGCUGGAAGAUAUGGUCUUAGAAGUCAGCUUUCAUUUAAAAAAAAUUGUGCAUCAUUUGAGGUCUUGAGUCAAAAGUUGUGCAAGUUUCCAUGCAAGCUGUCCAGGAAUUUAUUACAGCGCGAGGCUCAACAAGUUUGCUCCUGCUACAGCUUCGGGCUCACGAAUUUACCCUUCUUUUUGAGUUGUUUUCACACCUAACUAGUGGGUGCUUCUAGUAUAAAUACUCCCUAGCUGUUCCAUGUGAGGGGGGAUGAGAUUUCUGAGUUUAUGUUUGUAGACAGCCGGUGAGGUUGUGUUGUGCUGUGAGCACUAGUAUCGUCGAGUGUUAGCUCGUGUGUGUGGAUUGGAGGGCCUGUCCUCAAUUCAUAUAGGAUCCUUGUGGUUCCCUCUUGUGAUUCUUCAUAGGUUCACAAGCUUCAUGGUUUGGGUUGCAUCCUUGUAAACCCAGCUAGUUGUCCGCUGCAAUUUAUCUGAGAGUGUUUCCUCUUGUUCUUCCCCCUUGAGAGAAAUAAAGUUUGUUGAAACAAGUAUCGAGUGAGUUUGUUGCUGCUCCUUGUGAGUUCUUUGGCACCGUGAAAGAUCGUUUCUGAGGCAUCCCACAUCAUCUUGGCAUCAGAGCUUUAGGUUGUUCGCGGUGCAAUUUUUUAUCUUGCUGAUUUUGUUCUUGAGAAGCUUCCAUGGGUUCAAGGAGAUCCAGCAGUGUUGAUGGUGUGCAUGGAGGUGCCGGCACCUCGUGGAGGAGGAGCUGCCACUCCCCGUAUAUGAUCCAAGCUUGCAGCCCGCCUAUGUGUUGGCAUUGGAGAAUACACGAGAGUAUGUGUUGAACAAGGUGGAGAGGCGCAUAUCGGCCGUGGAGACCAACCUUGGCCAGAUAAUCGACUCCCUCACCGAGGAACUCCGUCGAGAUAGGCUUGCUGUACGGGGUCGACAUUGACAAAUCCCCAAACAGCAGGGCCAACGCCACCUUGAGGAGGAGCAUGGAGAGCACAACCACGUCUACUCGGGUGAUGCUCAUAGCUACUACGCUGCACCACCUCGGCGUGCUUGCUAUGACCAGCGAGGUGCUACUUGGGCACCACUGUCACCACCAUGAGAUGGGCUUGUGGAACGGGUUCGACAUCGACAACUCCCCAUACAGCAGGACCACCAUGGAGAGCAUUGGAGCGACCACUCCGAUGAUGCUCGAAACUACUACGAGCCUCAACCAUGACGUGUUCAUCAUGAUCAUCGCGGAGAAGGCCAAGAAGGCUUUGCCAUGGGAGGAAGAGGUCAUGGGCGUGCUCAUCGUGACCAUGAAGAUGAUGGGAUUGGUAAAUUCAAACUUACCAUACCAUCGUUCAAUGGGAAAACCGAGACCGAUGAUUAUUUGGAGUGGGAGAUGCGUGUGGAUUAGAUUUUUGACAACCACCGCUAUACGGAGGAGAAGAAGGUACGAUAUGCAUCCAUUGAGUUUACUGGAUAUGCUUUGAUUUGGUGGAACCAAUUGUGUCGUGCUGGAGGUCGUCCAGAGACAUGGGUGCAAAUGAAAGAUCUGUUGCGGAGACGGUUUGUUCCUGAAUAUUUCACAAGAACCUUGUACAAUCGACUCCAACGGUUGUGCCAAGGUAAUUCUAGUGUUGAUGAGUACUAUAAAGAGAUGGAGAUUUUGAUGAUUAGGACAACGGUGAAUGAGCCCGAGGAGGCCACAAUGUCAAGAUUCUUUCAUGGACUGAAUGAAGAUGUGCAAGAAAGGAUAGAGAUGAUUACAUAUCAAGAUUUGCAAGAACUUGUGCAUCAAGCUAUUCGUGUAGAGCAGCAGCUGAAGCGUCGCCAAAAUCGCAGCCAAACCUAUACAUCAAGCACUUGAAGAAGUUCAGCUCAACGAGAAGUAGACGGAAGUGUCGCUGCAGAUUUUCGCUCACACAACAAGAUGACUACAAAGGAAGCUAAUGCAUCAAAGGUUGAAUCUUCCAAUACUUCUGCCACUCGCGUUAGUAAUAUUCAGUGCCAUACAUGCAAGGGUAGAGGUCACUUCAAGAAGGAUUGUCCUAAUCUGAAGAAGGUUUUACUCACAAAUGAUGGAUAUGUCACCGAUGACUCAAGUGACAAAUCUGAAUCUGAGAAGAAAGAUGCAAAUUAUUGUACUUUUGAGACUGGAGCACCUCUGAGUUCAGAUGGAGGAGAUGGUGUUAAUCUCAUGGUUCGCAAAGUGGCUCAUGAUGAUGCUCCUAUUAUUGAGAAGGGCCAGCGACAAAAUGUGUUCCAAUCCAUUUGCAAGAUCAAGAACAAAAAUUGCAAGGUGGUCAUCGAUGGAGGCAGCUACAACAACAUCAUUAGUAGUGAUCUUGUGCAUGCUCUUGGGAUGUCAACAUGGAGGCAGCCCCAGCCAUAUUAUGUGAAGUGGCUGAAUGGUGUUGGUAAGUUGAAGAUUACGCAUCAUGCGAGGGUGCAAUUUUCAGUGGGAAGUUAUGUGGACAAAGUGGUAUGUGAUGUGGUGCCAAUGCGAGCUUGUCAUCUUCUUUUGGGAAGACCGUGGCAGUUUGAUCAUGAUGCUACUCACCAUGGGAGGUCUAACAAGUAUUCUUUCAUGCAUCAAGGAGUGAACCAUGUCUUGGAACCUAGGGUGGAUCAAGUACUCAAGGUUGAGCAAUUCCCACAAGUGAAGAAGCCCAAAAAGAAUACCUCAAAACCGAGGAUGGUUUUGUUUGAAGGAAGGGAGGAUGAUGUGGACCAGAUCAUGACCAAGGUAUCCAAGAAUGAGGUUAGCACAAAUGCAGAACCAUUAGAGCAUCCAAAGGAAGACAAGGGAAAAAACAUUAUCUUUGUUGGGAAGCUUCCGGUGCCUAUUUUGGGGGAAAUGACACAUCAAAUUUCCAGCAGCAACUUCCCACCUAAACCUAAUUAAUUGUGGAAGUCUCUAGCACUUUAUAGAGGCUACAAGAGAUGGUCUUGGAAGUCAGCUUUCAUUUAAAAAAAACUAUGCAUCAUUUGAGGUCUUGAGUCAAAAGUUGUGCAAGUUUCCAUGCAAGCUGUCCAGGAAUUUAUUACAGCGCGAGGCUCAACAAGUUUGCUCCUGCUACAGCUUGGGGCUCACGAAUUUACCCUUCUUUUUGAGUUGUUUUCACACCUAACUAGUGGGUGCUUCUUGUAUAAAUACUCCCCGGCUGUUCCAUGUGAGGGGGGAUGAGAUUUCUGAGUUUAUGUUUGUAGACAGCCGAUGAUGUUGUGUUGUGCUGCGAGCACUAGUAUCGUCGAGUGUUAGCUCGUGUGUGUGGAUUGGAGGGCCUAUCCUCAAUUCAUAUAGGAUCCUUGUGGUUCCCUCUUGUGAUUCUUCAUAGGUUCACAAGCUUCAUGGUUUGGGUUGCAUCCUUGUAAACCAGCUAGUUAUCCGCUGUAAUUUACCUGAGAGUGUUUCCUCUUGUUCUUCCCCCUUGAGAGAAACAAAGUUUGUUGAAACAAGUAUCGAGUGAGUUUGUUGCUGCUCCUUGUGAGUUCUUUGGCACCGUGAAAGAUCAUUUCCGAGGCGUCCCGCAUCAGGAAUCCCAAGGUAGACGAUCGGGAAGGUGGUGACCGCGCACGUCAGCGUCGAACCAACAACAUCAGCCACGGUAUCAUCACAUUGAAUAGGGGUGGCAGAGCACUUGAGAAAAUUGGUGCGUAAGCCCGAAGCUUCAUAGGGAAGAGGCCAACCUUUCCUGCUUGGUGUUGUAAAUUUGUACAUGACAUCUCUUCUUGUAGAUAGAGUUAAUGCUUACCAAAGCUCCUGGAUUGGAUUUGUAAUCUCCAUUAGAUAAAUAGGUAGGUAGGAAAGUGUGGUUUUUCCUUUUUCUUGGUUCCCUUUGUAAACAUUUUUUGCUAGCUUUUGUUUUGAUGGAAUAAAGGACUGGAGCUGUUGCUCCAUAGUAGUUACAAAAAUUCAAGAUUUUUAUUGAUUUUUCACUAGUAUGAUUACACUCCUUCACAAAGGAGCUCUUUUUUUUUGAAAAGGAGGAUGUACCCCCGGCCGCAUCUGGGCUAUGCAUGUAGCCAUAAAGGAGCUCAUGCAAUGCAUGUUGGAGAUUUAUUUCAAUAGUUCCAUAACAUGUUUUGAAUGCUGUUGCUAUCUAGUUCAGUUAGAUGCUUAUUAUCCAGACCAACAAAAGUUCUUUAGUAAGGGUCUCUACAAGAAUAUCUUUCAUCCUAUUCUACUAGCAAAACCGAUGUAGAUGCUGGUAGUGACAUGGAAAAGAAACCAUAAUCUUUUUGUAUUGAUAUAUAAGUAAAGAAACUGAAAUUUGCAACUGCAAAUCAGGGGAUCUUAAUGUCAAAUACUGAAUGCUUCCACAACUAGUUGUGUGACAUAUUCAUUGCAGUGCCAAAUAAAGAAACUUUUCCAUGAAUUAAUAACAUCAAGACAAUGGUCCGCAUGUUUUAUAUAAUAAAUAUCACACAGGUUUUGUAUAUGUGUAGCCGGCUCUAGAAUUUACAUAUGCAUGCUCGAGAAUCUAUGUUCGUACAUACAUACACAGACCAUAUAGAAUGAAAAAUAUGCUCUGGUCGUCCAGCAGAGUCGUGGACAAAAGUGAAGUUCACAAAAGACCUUCAUACAUAGGCCAUUGUUUCAACUCGUAGUUUAGGCCUUGCCAGACUCCUCGCAACCCGGUGGCCUGAAGGCAAUGAAGCUGACGCACUGCACCUGGCGUAGGUUGUCGAAGCCGAUGACGCGGACAUAGGCGUCAGGGUACUCCUUCUUGACCUCCUCCACCUCGUUGAGCACCUGUGUAGCGUCGGUGCACCCGAACAUAGGCAGCUUCCACAUUGUCCAGUAUCGACCAUCGUAGUACCCGGGGGAGCUGUUGUGCUCACGGAAAACGAAGCCAACCUUGCUGAACUCGAGGCAGGGCACCCACUUGGAGCGGAUCAAGUAGUCGACCUGCUUCAGGAGGGCCUCCGUGGAGAGGGGUGGCAAGUAAGACAGAGUCUCGAACUUCUUGAUGCCCUCAAUCGGCCACACCUGAAUGAAUAGAAUGCGCAGAUGCUCAAUACUUGGUGCUAAGUCAAUUGUACCAACAAUGCUAGAAAAAUCUGUUGAUAAGCCAAAAAUUGCUCCUGAUGGGCAGGUCUCAUAUGUAUUGUUCGUUUGUCCACAAUGAAGAAAGCUUAAGGGUAGCCCUUAAACUGAUGGGCACUCUGGAGGUACUAAGAUAAUUUUAUCUAGUCCAUGCUGCAAUAAAGAGUAUUUCCAUUCACUAAGUUAUGAGUUGAUGGCUUUUACAUACGGAUCCCAGCUUAUGGACAAGGCUGAAUGAGCAUCCAAAGCCAAAUGGUUUCCAUAGGCAACAAACCAAACAGAUAAUAAGGUUUCGGAAUAAUCUAUUGACCAAAUUAUGUUAUACAUUGGGGAUGUUCUGUAAGUGAAUUACUUGUACUGACAAAGAAACUCAUAUCAGUUUAAUUAGUGACCGACAUACCUGCAUGCACCUGAUCCUUCCGCCGUUGCUGACGCUGCUGAGGCCGGCGCUGCUGGAGCGGCGGCUGACGGGCAGGCCGGCGGUCGACUUGAGACCCUGGAAGGGUGCGACGGAGGUGGCCGAGGAAGCCAUCACAGUGGGGGCCAUGGUGUUGGAGGAGAGAAGGUGGCAGGCUAAGCUUGGCCCCCAUUGCUGGGUCACCACGGUAUAUAUAGCCAUAUAUGGCCAGCUCCUAUCUUUAAUCAAGAUGUGGAAGGGGUGGCUGGCGUUCGUUGGUUGCUUGGUUUCCUUAUCUCUCCGGAUUAGUGUAAGAGGCAUGGCCGUUGGAUGAGUUGUGUGUGCCCAAAAUUUCAGUCGUCCAUGUCAUUGUGUGAUUGCCACAAUCCUUUUUCCAGCCUUGCAUUACUGUAUUAUUCUUUUCGUUUCAUCUUGCUAAAGGUAACGCUUGAAAGGUGCACGAAGAACUCCCUUUGUUGAUUUGCGAUUUAAGUUCAGUGGCACAGGCAUAACGAAUGUUAUAGUACAUCCUUUAUCCACUUUUAUAAUACAAAACUUGUCAACCAGUUAUGCUUGCUUCUAAUCUUUGGUACUUCAUUUUAUAACAUUUUAUACAGGUAACUAACGUAUACUUGCUGCAUGUAUGAUGUGUGUCAUCAUGACCUUUAUGUACUUUAUUCACAAUUAUUCAUUGGAACACAAAAGUGUUGUACUAUUUUCUACACCUAAUCAUUUACAUGCCUUGGAGGAUUUUUAGUAUAGGAAAUGCUAUUUAACUGGCUGUCCAGGCAAGGUAUAACUUUGUUUUAAUCUAUGAGCUAAAGUUUUAGAUCCCUCUGUUAUCCAUUUGCUCAGUUCAUGCCGUCCCCAGUGAACUCAUAAAUUACAUAUGGUGAGUGAAUAUAGACCACAAAAAAUGGUAGAUGUAUGUUCAUUCAUUUCAUGAUGAUGAAGCAACCUGCAAAAUGAUGGAAUCGACCAUGACUACUCAGUGAUAUGGCAAUCAUGUAGGACGAUCAUCGUGAUCAUCCUCCCGAGUCGUCCCCGUGCGGCGGCUGGGAGUACCCCAGAUCCCGUCGCCCCCGACUCCCCCUCUCGUCCCCUCCUCCCUCACCGCCGCCCGAGGGCGCCGCCGGGCAAAGCCUUGCCGUCGCCGGCGGCGGCAGGGACUAGGUGCCCUCCCGCUCGUGAGGAGCUGGCGCGGACCAGCGCCCCCGGGCUGGAGCGUGGCGUGCAUCUGGAUGUCAUGACGGGGGCUGGCGGCGCUCCUGCGAUCCCAUACCUCAUGGCAGGCGGCUUCAAGAUCUGGGGCGACACGGUUGCCAGGGUCGGCGGCGGUGGCGUGGCCGGAUCUAGGACCAGGUGUGAGCUUGGUCUCCGGGUCACGAUCGGCGCGAUGGCAAGUGCGACAUGUCGGCAGCUGGACGGAUCUGCGGGAUUCCAUCCUUGUCUAGUCCUUGACAACUCGAGCAACUCCGAGGGAAACCCUAGAUCCAUGGGAUCAAGCGAUGGCAGUGCUUUUGCGUCGUAGUCCCUCUUCGGGACAUCAUUUUAGAGUUUGCUAUGGUUGAAGGGACCAGCGAGGCAUGCGGCGUACGCCCGGUGUCGCAACUACCGAUGAAAAUUACGCCAACUACGGUCAUGGCGGACGAUGGCGGCGUCUUUGAUGUCGUUUCCUUGUCGAGACAUCGUCAUUGCAGUUGGCAUCAUCAUGCUCGGGAUGCUCCGGGGGAAACCCUAGAUCUGGGUCUCCCGGAUCGGACGAUAAUAGCGUUCUUAGUAUCGCUUUCCCUCAUCGGGGCAUCGUUUUGGAGCAAGUGAUGGCUGGAGGUGAUAAGAGGAGGAGCGGUGCUUCAUCAUACACAUUGGUGGUGUCGGAUCUCGAUGGCAUGGCACCCUGGAAAUUAGGCGUUUGAUGUGCGAUGAUGGACUCGCGUAGGAGGUCGACGCUCUCUGGCGUCGUGGUGGCAUCGGCGGCAGCUAGACCGGGCAAGGUACAUGCAGUAGUACAACUCUGAAGAUGGAUUGGUGGCAGGUGGCUGCGGCGGCCUCAUACCCGGCAGGCGUCCUGGUUGAGGAGCACGCUGGACUGGUGGGUGCCCAUGCCCGGCAGGAGUCCUGGUUGGGACCUCAGGUCUUAGAUGUUAGGUUUGGCUGCGAUGUCUCUUUGGUAUUAGGCCCAGACUAUCAGCGCCCCUUCAUCAACUGGAUUGGAUUAGCGACAGAUGUUGCUUAGACGGUGGCUUUAGUCUUAUUGUUGUAUGGUUUUGUAAGGUCUUGUGCUAAUAAUUAAUAAAAUGAUUGUAUGCAUCGCCCAGAUGCAGAGGCCGGGGGUCCUUCUCCUUUUCUAAAAAUCUAGUCAUUUAAGGUAGAUGUCGUGAUCUUCUUGUGUGACUGUCUCAUAGAUUUGAGCUGCAAAUCGAAUCUUAUAUUCUUCCAUUUUUUUUGAAUUUCCUGCAUGUAGUUAAUUAUUUUUUAUGAAUCCUUAAUGAUAAUUAACAUGGCCCAGAUAUUCACAAAAUAUCCAUAACUAUCAUGAACGAAUCAAUAAAUUACUAUUGCAGAAUGAAGAAUGAACCUUCCAUAGACCCCUCCACUUGGGCCCGUCGGUAGAGAGAUUCAUCACUCAUGGGCCACAAAAUGCGAGCCAAGUAGGACGACCUUCACUAAUGGGCCCUUAAGUUGGGCAUCAAUGGAGGGGCACCCAUGGGGCCCAAAGAUCCAACUGAAUGGACAGUCCAUCUCUACUGACGGUCAUACCGGAAUUUCCUAACGGACGCACAUUGUGUCAAGUUGCCACUGUUUCGCACAGAUGCCAGCGACUGGCGACCGAGAUGGGCCGGCCCAAUUACGAGCCCACAGAUGCGCUACAGUGUCCGGUUUUGGGAAACUUCUAGGAGGUUCCUGAGCGGUUUUGGGAACCUUCUAGAAGGUUCCUGAACCAGUUUUCCCUGGUUUAUUCUGUUUCUUUUUAUUUUUCUUUCAAUAUUGUUUAUUCUUUUUCAUUCUUUAUUUUUAUUUUUUCGUUUUGCCGUUUCUAUAUUCCAUUUUUUAUUUCUUUAAUUCCUUUUCCUUCUCUUUUUUCCUUCAGAAUUAAAAAAUAAUAAAAAUGUUCAGAAGUUAAGAAAAUUUUAUUGUUUAAAAAUUUUGUUCAUAAAUUGAAAAAUGUUCUUCUUUUCAAAAAACCUUCGCAUUUUUAAAAAAUGUUUGGCAUUUAAAAAAUGUUCCGCUUUCAAAAUAUUGUUCACAAAUUACAAAUAAUGUUCACUCUUUCCAAAUUUUGUUCAGAGUUUGGACAUGUUUGCAGACGUAAAAAUGUCCACCUUUUCCAGAAAUGUUCAUAUCUUUUUUUUCAAAAUUUGUUCACAAAUUCAAAAAUUCCUGUUUUUAUAAUUUGUUCACACAUCCAAAAAUUGUUCACACCUUUUAAAAAUUCUCAAAAUUUGUUCACAAAUUCAAAAAGCUUUCCAUUUUUAUAAUUGUUCACAGAUUAAAAAAUUGUUCAAAUCUUUAAAACUUGUUCGUGAUUCUAAAAAAAUGUUCAUAUCUUAAAAGAAAUCACAAAUUCGAACAAAUUCCUGUUCUCAAAAUUAGUUCACAAAUUAAAAAUGUUAUUUUUUGAAAAUUAUUCACAAAUUCAAAAAAAGUUCGCAUUUUGUCCAAACUUGUUCGUGAUUUGUCAAAAAAUGUUCGGAAUUUAAAAAAAUGUACCCGUUCUUUCAAGAUUUGUUCACAAAUUAAAAAAUUAUUUCCCUGUUUAAAUUUGGUUCACAAUUCAAAAAAUCAUGUUUUUUAAACUUCAAUUUUUUGCACGUGUCUAACAAAAUAGGUCAGAGUUUUGAAAAUUGUUCCUUUUUAAAAAAUUGUCCAGAACUGCAAAAUUGUUCCUGUUUUUAAAAUUCGAAUAAUUGCGACCAUUUGUUGAAACUCGUGUGCAUUUUUGCCAAAAACAUUUGGACUUUUAAAAAUAUAUUCAGAAUUAACAAGAAAAGAUUUAAAAAGGAAAAAUAAUGUGACCUGCCGUUGUGACCAGUACUAGUCGUGGUGGCUAGCUAGCUUCGUAUAAAAAAGCACGAUCGCGAGCUCGAGUCCUAGCUCUCGCUUCGAGUUUUUCGUUGCCUUUUUAACACUGCACGCUGCCUGCGUGGGCCGGCCCAGUCGGGCGCCUAACCUGUGCGAUCGCUCGACAUUCUGCCGCAGAAUGCGGCAGAUAGGAAGUCCCGGUCAUACCACACCACCCGUCAAUGUUGGGCGCCCCGUUAGUGCUGAAUUAAGGUAUUUCUAUCUGCUAGAGACGAAGUGGCCUUAUAUGGGCUUUCUCUUUUCUCCUAAACAAAACCAAGCCACCUCCCCCAAUCCAUUCCUCCCCAACGUCAUCACCACCCAAUGUUUUUGUCUCCUUACAUGUGUGCCCCCUCCUUCUUCCACAUUGAUCUGGUCCAACGCUACCGUCUCAUCCCCGCGAUCAUCGUCACUACUCUUCGAUUACUCGUGAUGGCGCGGGUUGUGGCUUCCCACUUGCUCUCUCGUAAGAGUGGUUGGGUAAACCCCAAGUGUAAGGAUGAAGUAACCUAGUAAUAAGCAUUUUCCCCGAUAGGUUUAUCAAACCAGUAGGAAUUUCUUCUACAACCCAAAUCCUCGGUACCUGCACACCAAACACAAAAUAAUCUUGCCCCAAACGUUUCAAGAAGGUUGUCAAGCUUCUUGUCCUGCUAGUUACAAGGAUUAGUUGUUAGUUGAAAGCAAAUAUCAGUUGCUAAGUAGCCUUAGUGUGGUUUGUACCUUCAGAUCUGCCAUGACACUGUCAACACUAUACUCGCCAUGCUUAGGGUUCAUCCUUUUUAUAUACACCAAGAUCAACCUAGGUGCUUCGCGUCGUACUAGCACUAAUCCAACCAUCAAUAUAAAUGAAAUGCCACCAUAAUUUCAAAGCUUAGUUGUUCAAAUACGAAUAUGAUGUGGUACUAAUAUUAGUUUAAAAUAGACACAUGUAGUUGGUCAGCCAAUGUUCCUUGUUGAGUUUCAAAAUACAUGUACACCACUUAUAGAGAGGCAUGAGUGAAUACUAUUUAUUUCUGCGAUCUCGUCCAUCAUGGAUGGGCAACGAACAUUGCAUUGUAUAGAAAGAAGGGUUAUAUAUAACCACCUUUUACAUAGAUGACGCUUUGCCUACGUGCUUUGUGUUGAAGUAGCAACACUCCACCUUUCAAGCUAAACAACAUGACACUCAUAAUUUCAAAGCUUAUUUUGUCAAAUACGAAUUUGAUAUGAUACUGAUAUUAGUUAAAAUGACACACAUUAAUUGUCAGCUAAUGUUCCUACUUCAGUUUUGAAAUGCAUAUCUGCCCCUUAUAGAGAGACAAGAGAGGUUUCUAUCUCUCUAUCCGCUCUUGUCAUCAUGGUUGGGGGGUGAACUUUGUAUAUCGUAUAGUUUGAAGCUGUCAUCUACCAACAAUCAUCACUUCUGGAGAUCUCAACUAGGAGCCUUUUUUGAGUAGUAGGGCCAUAUUAUAUUAAUACACACACCAAAUUACAACUCACAUAGCAUCUCUCGGCAGACUUCCAGAGAUAGUACGCAGGGGUUUAUAAGGAGUCACUAUUGGGGUAGAAUCGGCAAUGCAUUUGUUACACCCCGAUUCAGAGAACCGGAGGUCCCCGUGUUCCAGCCCAGAUAUCCAUUCGUCUGGAACACGACUAUAGCUUGGUACAGAUAGACCAAAAUAAAUAAGUACUUAUGUACAUUAAGGAGACAUGUCUAAGUGUGAGAAGCUCGAGGGCUUUAUUCUACGAGUGGCUUAAGGAAGUACUAAAGACGAAAAUAAUACUAAUGACACAACAGAAGACGGGGUACCAGUGGGGCUCCAAUCUAAAGAGACACUGCUGGUACACGAACUCUUAGGGGAACUCUUCUAUCGGCUCUCUAGUAUCUAGCAUGAUAAGUCAGGUGAGUACUUAAUUUGAAUGUACUCGCAAGCUCACAAACAAUCCAAAGCAAGCAAGAACGGAGCAAAUAAACAUAGCAACGAAGUAAGGACUAGUAAAGCUACUACUAUCAAGACUACUCCAUAGACUUCUUGUCUGCUCGUUUAACAUCUACUGGACUUCUUCUUGAAAUGAGUCCUGCUCAAACGACUCAACAAUAUAAGUUACCUGUUACCACAGUUACUAGAGUUGAAAGUAAAGGAAUAUGGGUACUUGGUCAAAUAGUGUGACCUAACACAAAUGGUGUCCCAUUGUCGGGGACUCGGCUAUUUGAAUAGUUUCAACACACACUCUGUAGAGGUCACACACUUUAAUUUACCCACACCAUAGAUUCUUUGUCUAAUGAAUCUCAUUCAUAGCAUGGCACUCUAACUAUUCCUCCGACCUCCCGCAGGCUAGCCCUGGGAGAGAGGAUCUGGGUCCUUGCCACUCUGUGUGGCACCACUUGUAUUCGCUUAGGAAUAUUUUCUAUUGAGCUCAUCCACAGACCCAGGCUCUCUUGACUGAAUGGCAACUUCCAAGCCAGAGGAAGUCUACACAUUCCAGCUUCCCUCUUCAGAGACACACAAAAGAUACAUACCUAGAAACGGAAUAAGGCCCUCCCAUUCGGCUAGAUGUGGCUAUACUGAGGUUGUUCCGCUUUGUGGCAUUUGGAUUGGCUAGCUAUUUAAAGUUGGGUUAAGAAGGAAAGUAAAACCGUAACUUUGUACUAGCUAUUCAAAUCCACAACUUGUUAUCCUACUAGGGUGAAGUAUUCACGAGGAUUCAUCAUCCUAAGUAGAGGCUUUCCCCGAGAUCCUUUGUGAACAUUGAUACCUAUUUUGCUUAUGAUUCAUGUUGGCAAAAUAAUUACCGGUUACGAGUCAUAGUUAAACUUCUAUUCCACUAGGACCAAAUAAAGGUAUCCUUGCUAGUGACUCACUAUGCUAUUUCAACCACAACAAACUUGACAUAAGCAAAGGGAAGCAAUAAAGAACACUGAAAGAAAAGUAAUGCGGGAAAAGAAAUGCAAGUUGAAUCCAUGGCCUUGCAAUGCAAGUUGAACCUAUAGUGUUAUAGCCAUGGCUCACGCUCAUGUAUUGCAUGGGGCUGAAAAUCUUGAAGCGCGUUAGAAGUGUUAAGCUUCAUGCACUAGCCAACGCAGCCAAAAGUCUGAACUGAUGGAAAGGGCUAGUACAAUCCACAUAUACUAUAACACCCUCUCUCACGUGGGACGGGGAAGACAAGUCAACACAUGCAACCGGAAGAGAGCGACGGCACGCGAAACUCAGGUAUGACUCAAGAGGCCUAUACGUGGACACAAAGGAGGGCUGUCAGCAAUUUUUAAAUAAGUUGCACAAACCAGGACUUGAACUCAAGACCUUAACUCCAAUACCAUGUUAAGCUUCAUUGACUCACUGAAAAACCAGCGGCAGUCACCACAGAGGCAAAACGCUCAAACAAGGCGCGGGGGGCUUGCUUAAGGCCAUAGAGAGAGCGACGAAGACGAGAUACCAUGCCAUCAGGAACAGAAUACCCAGGUGGUGGCUGCAUGUAUACCUCCAUUUGCCUGGUUUGACACCGGGGUGCUCAUGAUUUAUAUAUAUGCAAUGAAGGCGGAGUCAUGCCAUGCUAACAUGAUAAAAUGAGUGGGGAUAACAUUCGUUAAUGAUCGUAUAUUUUGAAAAAGUAAUGAUUAUGUUUCUUAUAUUCAUGGAAAUUAUUAUGUUGAUAUUGUUACUUCAUUGUUUCUCAAUAACUAUAUCAUAAAGAUAUUACAUGAUACAUAUGUUUGUUGGGGAACGUAGUAAUUUCAAAAAAAUUCCUACGCACACGCAAGAUCAUAGUGAUGCAUAGCAACAAAAGGGGAGAGUGUUGUCUAUGUACCCUCGUAGACCGAAAGCGGAAACGUUAGAACAACGCGGUUGAUGUAGUCGUACGUCUUCACGGCCCGACCAAUCAAGCACCGAAACUACGACACCUCCGAGUUCUAGCACACGUUCAGCUCGAUGACGUCCUUCGAACUCCGAUCCAGCCGAGUGUCGAGGGAGAGUUCCGUCAGCACUACGGCAUGGUGACGAUCUUGAUUUUCUACCGUUGCAAGGCUUCUCCUAAGCACCGCUACAAUAUUAUCAAGGAGGACUAUGGUGGAGGGGGGCACCGCACACGGCUAAGAGAUCAAGAGAUCAAUUGUUGUGUCUAGAGGUGCCCCCCUGCACCCGUAUAUAAAGGAUCAAGGGGAAGGGGGCGGCCGGCCAGGAGGAGGUGCGCCAAGGGGGGAGUCCUACUCCCACCGGGAGUAGGACUCCUCCUUCCCUUGUUGGAGUAGGAGAGAAGGAAAGAGGGGGAGAGGAGGAAGGAAAAGAGGGCUGCACCCCUUGUCCAAUUCGGACCAGAGUGGGGCUGUGCGCCUCCUUCCUUUCGGCCUCUCUCCUCUAUUCCCGUAUGGCCCAAUAAGGCCCAUAUACUCCCCGGCGAAUUCCCGUAACUCUCCGGUACUGUGAAAAAUACCCGAAUCACUCGGAACCUUUCCGAAGUCCGAAUAUGGUCGUACAAUAUAUCGAUCUUUACGUCUCAACCAUUUCGAGACUCCUCGUCAUGUCCCCGAUCUCAUCCGGGACUCCGAACUCCUUUGGUACAUCAAAACUCAUAAACUCAUUAUAUAACUGUCAUCGAAACUUUAAGCGUGCGGACCCUAUGGGUUCGAGAACUAUGUAGACAUGACCGAGACACGUUUCCGGUCAAUAAACAAUAGCGGAACCUAGAUGCUCAUAUUGGCUCCUACAUAUUCUACGAAGAUCUUUUAUUGGUCAAACCACAUAACAACAUACGUUGUUCCCUUUAUCAUCGGUAUGUUACUUUCCCGAGAUUUGAUCGUCGGUAUCCAAUACCUAGUUCAAUCUCGUUACCGGCAAGUCUCUUUACUCGUUCCGUAAUGCAUCAUUCCGUAACUAACUCAUUAGCUACAUUGCUUGCAAGGCUUAUAGUAAUGUGCAUUACUAAGAGGGCCCAGAGAUACCUCUUCGACAAUCGGAGUGACAAAACCUAAUCUCGAAAUACGCCAACUCAACAUGUACCUUUGGAGAUAGCUGUAGAGCUCCUUUAUAAUCACCCAGUUACGUUGUGACGUUUGGUAGCACACAAAGUGUUCCUCCGAUAAACGGGAGUUGCAUAAUCUCAUAGUUAUAGGAACAUGUAUAAGUCAUGAAGAAAGCAGUAGCAACAUACUAAAUGAUCAAGUGCUAAGCUAACGGAAUGGGUCAUGUUAAUCACAUCAUUAUCCUAAUUAUGUGAUCCCGUUAAUCAAAUGACAACUCAUGUCUAUGGUUAGGAAACAUAACCAUCUUUGAUUAAUGAGCUAGUCAAGUAGAGGCAUACUAGUGACAUUAAGUUUUGUCUAUGUACUCACACAUGUAUCAUGUUUCCGGCUAAUACAAUUCUAGCAUGAAUAAUAAAAAUUCAUCAUGAUAUAAGGAAAUAAAUAAUAACUUUAUUAUUGCCUCUAGGGCAUAUUUCCUUCAGUCUCCCACUUGCACUAGAAUCAAUAAUCUAGUUCACAUCGCCAUGUGAUUUAACACCAAUAUUCACAUCUGUAUGUGAUUAAUACCCAAUAGUUCACAUUGUCAUGUGAUCAACACCCAAAGGGUUUACUAGAGUCAAUAAUCUAGUUCACAAAUCUAUGUGAUUAACACCCAAAGAGUACUAAGGUAUGAUCAUGUUUUGCUUGUGAGAGAAGUUUAGUCAAUGGGUCUGUCACAUUCAGAGCCGUAUGCAUUUUGCAAAAAUUCUAUGUCUACAAUGCUCUGCACGGAGCUACUUUAGAUAAUUGCUCCCACUUUUAAUAUGUAUCCAGAUUAAGACUUAGAGUCAUCUGGAUCAAUGCCAAAACUUGUAUUGACGUAACCCUUUACGACGAACCUUUUUUCACCUCCACAAUCGAGAAACAUAUCCUUAUUCCACUAAGGAUAAAUUUGACCAAUGUCCAGUGAUCUACUCCUAGAUCACUAUUGUACUCCCUUGCCAAACCAGGACAGAGUAUACAAUAGGUCUGGUCCAUAGCAUGACAUACUUUUAUAGAACCUAUGACUGAUGCAUAGGGAAUGACUUUCAUUCACUUUCUAUUUUCUGCCGUGGUCCGGAUUUGAGUCUUACUCAAUUUCUUACCUUUGCAACAUAGGCUAGAACUCUUUCUUUGACUGUUCCACUUUGAACUAUUUCAAAAUCUUGUCAAGGUAUGUACUCAUUGAAAAUAUUAUCAAGCGUCUUGAUCUAUCUCAAUAGAUCUUGAUGCUCAAUAUGUAAGUAGCUUUACUGAGGUCUUUCUUUUAAAGAACUCCUUUCAAACACUUCUUUAUGCUUUCCAGAAUUUUUUUAUAUCAUUUCUGAUCAACAAUAUGUCACUCACAUAUACUUAUCAGAAAGGCUGUAGUGCUCCCACUCAUUUUAUUGUAAAUGCAUGCUUCACUGCAAGUCCAUAUAAAACUAUAUGCUUUGAUCAAAGCGUAUAUUCCAACUCCGAGAUGCUUGCACCAGUCCAUAGUUGGAUCGCUAGAGCUUGCACAAUUUGUUAGCACCUUUAGGAUUGACAAAACCUUCUGAUUGCAUCAUAUACAACUCUUCUUUAAUAAAUCCAUUAAAGAAUGCAGUUUUGACAUCCAUUUGCCAGAUUUCAUAAAAUGUGGCAAUUGCUAAUAUGAUUCGGACAGACUUAAGCAUCGAUACGAGUGAGAAAAUCUCAUCGUAUUCAACACCUUAAACUUGUCAAAAAACUUUUGCGACAAGUCGAGCUUUGUAGAUAGUAACACUACUAUCAGCGUCUGUCUUCCUCUUGAAGAUCCAUUUAUCUUCCAUGGCUUGCCGAUCAUCGGGCAAGUCCACCAAAGUCCACACUUUGUUCUCAUACAUGGAUCUCAUCUCAGAUUUUAUGGUCUCAACCCAUUUUGCGGAAUCUGGGAUCAUCAUCGCUUCCUCAUAGUUUGUAGGUUCAUCAUGGUAUAGUAACAUGACCUCCAUAAUAGGAUUACCGUACCACUCCGGUGCGGAUCUUACUCUGGAAGACCUACGAGGUUCUGUAGUAACUUAAUCUGAAGUUUCAUGAUCAUCAUCAUUAGCUUCCUCACUAACUGGUGUAGGAAUCACUGGAACUGAUUUCUGUGAUGAACUACUUUCCAAUUCGGGAGAAGGUACAAUUACCUUAUCAAGCUCUACUUUCCUCCCACUCACUUCUUUCGAGAGAAACCCCUUCUCUAGAAAGGAUCCAUCUUAGCAACGAAUAUUUUGCCUUCGGAUCUGUGAUAGAAGGUGUACCCAACAAUUUCCUUUGGGUAUUCUAUGAAGACGCACUUCUCUGAUUUGGGUUCGAGCUUAUCAGGUUGAAAUUUUUUCUCAUAAGCAUCGCAGCCCCAAACUUUAAGAAACGACAGCUUAGGUUUAUUGCUAAACCAUAGUUCAUACGGUGUCGUCUCAACGGAUUUAGAUGGUGCCCUAUUUUAACGUGAAUGCAGCUGUCUCUAAUGCAUAGCCCCAAAACAAUAUUGGUAAAUCGGUAAGAGACAUCAUAGAUCGCACCAUAUCCAAUAAAGUGCGGUUACGACGUUCGAACGCACCACUACGAUGUGGUGUUCCAGGUGGCAUGAAUUGUGAGACUAUUCCACAUUGUUUUUAUACGAAAGCCAAACUCGUAACUCAAAUAUUCUCCUCCACGAUCAGAUCGUAGAAACUUUAUUUUCUUGUUACGAUGAUUCUCCACAUCACUCUGAAAUUCUUUGAACUUUUCAAAUGUUUCAGACUUGUGUUUUAUUAAGUAGAUAUACUCAUAUCUUGCUCAAAUCAUCUUGUGAAGGUCUGAAAAUAACGAUACCCGCCACGAGCAUCAAUACUCAUUGGACCGCAUACAUCAGCAUGUAUUAUUUCCAAUAAGUCACUAGCUCGUUCCAUUGUUCCGGAGAACGGAGUUUUAGUCAUCUUGCCCAAAAGGCACGGUUCGCAAGCAUCAAAUGAUUCAUAACCAAGUGAUUCCAAAAAUCCAUCUUUAUGGAGUUUCUUCAUGCGCUUUACACCGAUAUGACCCAAACGGUAGUGCCACCAAUAAGUUGCACUAUCACUAUAAACUUUGCAUCUUUUUGGCAUCAAUAUUAUGAAUAUGUGUAUCACUACGAUCGAGAUCCAAUAAACUAUUUUCAUUGGGUGUAUGACCAUCGAAGGUUUUAUUCAUGUAAAUAGAACAACAAUUAUUCUCUGACUUUAAAUGAAUAACCAUAUUGCAAUAAACAUGAUCAAAUCAUAUUUAUGCUCAACGCAAAAGCCAAAUAACAUUUAUUUAGGUUUAACACUAAUCCCAAAAGUAUAGGGAGUGUGCGAUGAUGAUCAUAUCAAUCUUGGAACUACUUCCAACACUGAUCGUCACUUCACCCUCAACUAGUCUCUGUUUAUUCUGUAACUCUUGUUUCGAGUUACUAAUUUUUUAGCAACCGAACAAGUAUCAAAUACUCAGGGGCUACUAUAAACACUAGUAAGGUACACAUCAAUAACCCGUAUAUCAAAUAUACCCUUGUUCACUUUGCCAUCCUUCUUAUCCACCAAAUAUUCAGGGCAUUUGCGAUUCCAGUGACCAUUUCCUUUGCAGUGUAAGAACUCAGUUUCAGGCUUUGGUCCAGCCUUGGGCUUCUUCACGGGAGUGACAACUUGCUUGUCAUUCUACUUGAAGUUCCCUUUCUUUCCCUUUGCCCUUUCUUUGAAACUAGUGGUCUUGUUAAUCAUCAACACUUGAUGCUCUUUCUUGAUUUCUACCUUCGUCGAUUUCAGCAUCACGAAGAACUCGGGAAUCGUUUUCAUCAUCCCUUGCAUUAUAGUUCAUCACGAAGUUCCAGUAACUUGGUGAUGGUGACUAGAGAACUCUGCCAAUCACUAUCUUAUCUGGAAGAUUAACUCCCACUUGAUUCAAGCGAUUGUAGUACUCAGACAAUCUCAGUACUUGCUCACUAUUUGAGUAAUUCUCCUCCAUCUUUUAGGCGAAGUAUUUGUCAAAGGUCUCAUACCUCUUGACACGGGCAUGAGUCUGAAAUACCAAUUUCAUCUCUUGAAACAUAUUAUAUGUUCCAUGAUGUUUCAAAAACGUUUUUGUAGUCCCGGUUCUAAGACAUAAAGCAUGGUGCACAAAACUAUCAAGUAGUCAUCAUAUUGAGCUAGGCAAACGUUCAUAACGUCUGAAUCUGCUCCUGCAAUAGGUCUGUCACCUAGCGGUGCAUAAAGGACAUAAUUCUUCUGUGCAGCAAUGAGGAUAAACCUCAGAUCACGGACCAAGUCCGCAUCAUUGCUACUAACAUCUUUCAACUUAGUUUUCUCCAGGAACACAUAUAAAACAUAGGGAAGCAACAACGCGAGCUAUUGAUCUACAACAUAAUUUGCAAAAUACUACCAGGACUAAGUUCAUGAUAAAUUAAAGUUCAAUUAAUCAUAUUACUUAAGAACUCCCACUUAGACAGACAUCUCUCUAGUCAUCUACGUGAUCACGUAAUCCAAAUCAACUAAACCAUGUCCGAUCAUCACGUGAGAUGGAGUAGUUUUCAAUGGUGAACAUCACUAUGUUGAUCAUAUCUACUAUAUGAUUCACGUUCGACCUUUCGGUCUCCAUGUUCCGAGGCCAUAUCUGUAUAUGCUAGGCUCGUCAAGUUUAACCUGAGUAUUCCACAUGUGCAACUGUUUUGCACCCGUUGUAUUUGAACGUAGAGCCUAUCACACCCGAUCAUCACGUGGUGUCUCAGCACGAAGAACUUUCACAAUGGUGCAUACUCAGGGAGAACACUUCUUGAUAAUUAGUGAGAGAUCAUCUUAAAAUGCUACCGUCAAUCAAAGCAAGAUAAGAUGCAUAAAGGAUACACAUCACAUGAAUCAACAUAAGUGAUAUGAUAUGGCCAUCAUCAUCUUGUGUUUGUGGUCUCCAUCUCCGAAGCACCGUCGUGGUCACCAUUGUCACCGGAGCGACACCUUGAUCUCCAUCGUAGCAUCGUUGUUGUUUCGCCAUCUAUUGCUUCUACGACUAUCGCUACCGCUUAGUGAUAAAGUAAAGCAAUUACAGGGUGCUUGCAUUUCAUACAAUAAAGCGACAACCAUAUGGCUCCUGCCAGUUGCCGAUAACUCAGUUACAAAACAUGAUCAUUUCAUACAAUAAAAUAUAACAUCACGUCUUGACCAUAUCACAUCACAACAUGCCCUGCAAAAACAAGUUAGACGUCCUCUACUUUGUAGUUGCAAAUUUUACGUGGCUGCUACAGGCUAAGCAAGAACCGUUCUUACCUACGCAUAAAAACCACAACGAUAGUUCGUCAAGUUAGUGCUGUUUUAACCUUCACAAGGACCGGGCGUAGCCACACUCGGUUCAACUAAAGUUGGAGAAACUGACACCCGCCAGCCACCUGUAUGCAAAGCACGUCGGUAAAACCAGUCUCGCGUAAGUGUACGUGUAAUUUCGGUCCAGGCCGCUUCAUCCAACAAUAUCGCCGAACCAAAGUAUGACUUGCUGGUAAGCAGUAUGACUUGUAUCGCCCACAACUCACUUGUGUUCUACUCGCGCAUAUAACAUUUACGCAUAAAACCUGGCUCGGAUGCCACUAUUGGGGAACGUAGUAAUUUCAAAAAAUUUCCUACGCAUACGCAAGAUCAUGGUGAUGCGUAUCAACAAGAGGGGAGAGUGUUGUCUACGUACCCUCAUAGACCGAAAGCGGAAGCGUUAGAACAAUUUGGUUGAUGUAGUCGUACGUCUUCACGGCCCGAUCAAUCAAGCACCAAAACUACGGCACCUCCGAGUUCUAGCAUACGUUCAGCUCGAUGACAUCCUUCAAACUUCGAUCCAGCCAAGUGUCGAGGGAGAAUUCCGUUAGCACGACGGCGUGGUGACGAUCUUGAUGUUCUACCGUCGCAGGGCUUCUCCUAAGCACCGCUACAAUAUUAUCGAGGAGGACUAUGAUGGAGGGGGGGGGCACCGCACACGACUAAGAGAUCAAGAGAUCAAUUGUUGUGUCUAGAGGUGCCCCCUGCCCCCGUAUAUAAAGGAUCAAGGGGGAGGAGGCGGCCGGCCAGGAGGAGGCGCGCCAAGGGGGGAGUCCUACUCCCACCGGGAGUAGGACUCCUCCUUCCCUUGUUGGCGUAGGAGAGAAGGGAAGAGGGGGAGAGGAGGAAGGAAAAGGGGGCUGCACCCCUUGUCCAAUUCGGACCAGAGGGGGGCUGCGCGCCUCCUUCCUUUCGGCCUCUCUCCUCUAUUCCCGUAUGGCCCAGUAAGGCCCAUAUACUCCCACACGAAUUCACGUAACUCUCCGGUACUCCGAAAAAUACCCGAAUCACUCGGAACCUUUCUGAAGUCCGAAUAUAGUCAUCCAAUAUAUCGAUCUUUACGUGUCGACCAUUUCGAGACUCCUCGUCAUGUCCCCGAUCUCAUCUGGGACUCCGAACUCCUUCGGUACAUCAAAACUCAUAAACUCAUAAUAUAACUGUCAUUGAAACCUUAAGCGUGUGGACCCUACGGGUUCGAGAACUAUGUAGACAUGACCGAGACACGUUUCCGGUCAAUAACCAAUAGCGAAACCUGGAUGCUCAUAUUGGCUCCUACAUAUUCUACGAAGAUCUUUUAUCGGUCAAACCGCAUAACAAUAUACGUUGUUCCCUUUGUCAUCGGUAUGUUACUUGCCCGAGAUUUGAUCGUCGGUAUCCAAUACCUAUUUCAAUCUCGUUACUGGCAAGUCUCUUUACUCGUUCCGUAAUGCAUCAUUUCGUAACUAACUCAUUAGUUACAUUGCUUGCAAGGCUUAUAGUGAUGUGCAUUACCGAGAUGGCCCAGAGAUACCACUCCGACAAUCGAAGUGACAAAACCUAAUCUCGAAAUAUGCCAACUCAACAUGUAUCUUUGGAGACACCUGUAGAUCUCCUUUAUAAUCACCCAGUUAUGUUGUGAUGUUUGGUAGCACACAAAGUGUUCCUCUGGUAAACGGGAGUUGCAUAAUCUCAUAGUUGUAGGCACAUGUAUAAGUCAUGAAGAAAGUAUACGCCAACUCAACAUGUACCUUUGGAGACACCUGUAGAGCUCCUUUAUAAUCACCCAGUUACGUUGUGACGUUUGGUAGCACACAAAGUGUUCCUCCGGUAAACGGGAGUUGCAUAAUCUCAUAGUUGUAGGAACAUGUAUAAGUCAUGAAGAAAGCAGUAGCAACAUACUAAACGAUCAAGUGCUAAGCUAACGGAAUGGGUCAUGUCAAUCACAUCAUUCUCCUAAUGAUGUGAUCCCGUUAAUCAAAUGACAACUCAUGUCUAUCGUUAGGAAACAUAACCAUCUUUGAUUAAUGAGCUAGUCAAGUAGAGGCAUACUAGUGACAUUAAAUUUUGUCUAUGUAUUCACACAUGUAUCAUGUUUCCGGCUAAUACAAUUCUAGCAUGAAUAAUAAACAUUCAUCAUGAUAUAAGGAAAUAAAUAAUACCUUUAUUAUUGCCUCUAGGGCAUAUUUCCUUCAAUGUUAGCUAGCAUUACACAUCAAAAUUUUUGUUUUUAUCAUUUACCUAUUCGAGGAUGAGCAGGAAUUAAGCUUGAGGAUGUUGACAUGUCCAACAUAUCUAUAAUUUUUUAUUGUUUCAUGCUAUCAUAUGAUCAAUCUUGGAUGCUUUAUAUGUAUUUUAUACUAUUUUAUAUCUUUUUGGACUAACCUAUUAUUUUGAAAAAAAAUUGAAUUGUUUGGAUUGCUUACCACAUGUGUCACGUGGUUUGGGACUAACUUUUUAACCCAAUGCCUAGUGCUAGUUAAUGUUUUUUUUGCUUGUUUUUGGCUCUUCAGAAAAACAAUACCAAAUGAACUUCAAACAUGAUGAAACUUUACGGUAAUUUUUUCUGGACUAGAAGAGGCCCUAGAAGGUUCGGGAGGAGGCUAGAAGAUCUACGGAAGAGCCACGAGCUCACAGGGCACGCCCCCGAGCUCAUGGGCCCCACGCAGCUCCGUUUGACCUAAUUUCAACUCCAUAACUUCACAUAUAUUUCCAAACCAAUAGAGAGCCACCCGAAACACUUUUUUUCCACCGCAAGCUUCUGUUCUUCCGUGAUCCCAUCUGGAGGCCUUUUCCGGUACUCUGCCGGAGGAGGAAUCGAUCAUGGAGGGCUUCUAUAUCAUCCUUGCUGCCUUUCGAUGAUGCAUGCAUAGUUCAUGACAGACCUACGGGUCCAUAUCUAGUAGGUAGAUGGCUUCAUCUCUCUCUUUGAUCUUCAAUACAAUGUUCUCCUCGAUUUUCUUAGAGCUUUUUUAUCCUAUGUAAUCUUUUUUUGCGGUGCGUUUAUUGGGAUGCAGUGAAUUAUGGGUUUAUGAUCAAAUUAUUAACUGAAAGUAAUUGUGUCUUUUCUGAGCUUUAUUAUGCAUGAUUGUUAUAGCUUCGUAUUAUCCUCCGAUCAAUUCGUUUGGUUUCGCCAACUAGAUUGAUUUAUCUUCAGUGGGAGAGGUGCUUUGUAAUGGGUUCAAUCUUGCGGUGUCCUCAUAUAGUGACAGAAGGGGAAGCAAGGCACAUAUAGUAUCGUUGCCAUUAAGGAUAAAACGACGUGGUUUAAUCAUAUUUCUUGAGUUUACUUUGUCUAGAUCAUGUCAUCUUGCUUAAGGUGUUACUCUGUUUGCCAUGAACUUAAUACGAUAGAUGCAUGCUAAAUAGCGGUCGAUUGGUGGAGUAAUACUAGUAGAUGUAGGCAGGAGUCGAUCUACUUGUCACAGACAUGACUAUAUACAUGAUCAUUGCCAUGAAUAUGUCAUAACUAUGUGUUUUUCUAUCGGUUGUCUAACAGUAAUUUGUUUACCCACAAUAUGCUACGUGUUCGAGAGAGAAGCCUCUAAUGAAAACUAUGGCGCUAGGUCUACUUUUAUCAUAUUAUUAAAACUAAAAAUACCUUCAUGCAAUUUUAUACUUUUUUUACUUUUCUUUUUAUCUAUCUAUCACUAUCAGAAUUAAUCCUUGCAAAUAAUGAGUUCAAGGGGAAUGACAAGACUCUUGCCGCGUUGGGUGCAAGUAUUUGCUUUUGUGUGUGUAGGUGCUGAAAAAGGGAAUUUGCGUGGUUCUCCUAUUGGUUUGAUAACCUUGGUUCUCACUGACGGGAAUACUUAUCUCUAUUGUAUUGCUCCACCCAUCCUCUUGGGGGAAAUCCCAACGCAGUUUAGAAGUAGCACUACUCCUCCUUCCUCCUCCAUAGACGCUUGGCGAAGCCCUGCCACAGCUCCACCAUAAAAUCCACCACCACGCCAUCGUGUUGGCCUAGAUCUCAUCUACCUAUCCCUGUCGCUUGCUGGAUGAAGGAGACAUCACCGAGCCAUACGUGUGCAUAUCCCUGAGGUGUCAUUCGUGCGGUGCUGGAUCGGAUUGGAUCACGAAGAGUGUACGACUACGCCAAGCACAUUCAUUAGAACGUUUCUGUUUUAGGUCUAGAAGGGUUUGUAGACUUUUCCCCCUCGUUGCUAGCAUCUAGUUGAUUAGAUCUCGGAUGUUUUCAUUGUCUCGUAGGAAAAAAAUUGUUUUUCAUGCAUUGAUUCUCAUCACCGACCUGCUUCAAAAGAAGCAGGUAGGAGCCCAGGCGGCCCGAGCUCAGCAGGUUGCCGGGUGGGAGGUCCCUAACAGGUGCAUCCAAGAAUGCAACAACCUCCAAGUAGAGAAGGCGUCCCUAACCGAGAGGACGAGACAACAAGAGCUGGAGCUGGAAGAAGUUAAGUCUCGCCUGGUCGAUGCCGGGAGCGUCGCGGCGGGCCCUUGAGAUCAUAGCCAGUGAGUCUGUCCAUGCUUCAACUCAUAAACUAGGUGGAAAUUUUAUUUGCCGAUCUGACAUACAAAUUCAUUAUUUCCAGCAUCUUUUCCCGACCUGCCAGCCAAUGCUGUUGGAGCGUCCCUUAGGGAGAAACUGCAGCAGUUUGGAGAGUUAAACAAGAUUGCGAGGCCGGUAAUGGAGGGUAUUUUCUUGGCCCUAUGGCCUGGAAGAAAGGUUGUCGGAAAACCAGUUUGACCUCUGCCGCCGCCUCCAGGAGGGGCAUGCUCGGAUUGCCCUGUGAAAGGCGUUAGUGGCCUGAGAAGAUGCUCGUCAAGCGUGGGCCAUGCUCCAGACCCACUAUCCGGGCUUGAACAUCUGCCCUAUUGCCGUAGUUGGUCCAAAAGGACCUGACGGUAAGGAGAUUAUGCCCUAUGCUAGGAUGUCCGAGCAGGAUUGUCGUUUGAAAAGAUUAUUGAAUAGGCUAGGAGUGUUACCCUGGAUUGUCAAGGACGAAACGUUGAAUAAAAACUUCUCGAAUUUCGCUACCACCAUGUUUAUUUUUUUCUAUACCAACAACAUGAUAGGUUUGCUCCGACCUGUUAGCAUACGCUUGCAUUAACCGGCCUUUGGCUUCAACCUCAACAACCAAAUGUGGAGGCCUUAUAAUUGAUGUUAACGCAAUGAGUAGGGAUCACCAUGCAACUAGGAUGCAAACAUAUCUAUGAAUAUAUGAAAUAUCUCGCAAGGAUUAAGUGGGGGUGUGUCCAACUUGUUUGCUCAUGAAGACCUCAAGCAUUUGAUAAAGCUCAUCAUCGGGAUAUACAAGGAAAAUUAUACAAUAUAAAUUCCCCAAGCUAGUAUAAAACAUGAAGCUCAUGAAACUUUAAUUAGAUGUAAAUUGUCCAGACCAACAAAAGUUCUUUAGUAAGGGUCUCUGACGAGAAUUUAUUUCAUCGAAAGUGUCCUACUCAGCUUGAGCUCAUAUGAAUUUUUUUAUUGCCGUGAAAAAGAUGAAUGCCAUUCUAUGAUGAAACCUUGCAAGGAUUUAUAACAUUUGUCAAAUUAAGCCACACACAAAAAAUCAGAAAUUUUUGAAUUCUCUCUAAAUAUUUUCAGAUUUUAUUGCUCACCCGAGCUCAUAUGAGCUCGAGCUCAGUUAAUCCGUGUCCAUGUUUCAUCCUACUCUACUAGCAAAAACCAAUGGAGCAGACGGUAGUGACGUGGAAAAGAAACCAUAACAAAUUUUUAGUGAUAUAUAAUUAAAGAAACAGAAAUUUACAAUUGCAAAUUAGGGAAUCUUAAUGUCAAAUACUGAAUUCUUCCACCCACUAGCUGUGAGACAUAUCCAUUGCAGUGCCAAAUAAAGAAGCUUUUCCAUGAAUUAAUAACAACAAGACAAUGGUCCGCGUGUUGUAUAUAAUAAAUAGAGUCCUGCUUCGGUACAACCCCCCUCGCAAUAUGUAUAAAGGGUAAUAUGGACUUUUCACAAUCUGUAUCUACUUCUGUACGUAACAUAUACGCCAGGCAGCUUACUUGGGCCGGCCCAUUUGCGGUGGCAUGCGAUGAAAAAUAGCGAAAAAGGAUCACACAAACUGGGAAUCGAAACCGACGACCACUUCAAAAUUUAACUGCGUCCACAACCACUGCGAUAGCAUGCCUUUGUUGAAUGAUCUAAAGUUGGAAACAAUAAAUAAUUGACAGGCUGGGAAUUUUAAAAAGAUUUCAGUAACACUUUCUGAACUGGCGUUUUUUCCAUAAUUUCUUUCUAUUUAUUUUCCUUUUCCUGCUAUUCUUCUUUCUUUUUCAAAAAUGUUCGCGCUUUCAAAAUGUUGUUCCAAAUUUCAAACGGUUCAUUAUUUCCAAGUUUUGUUCAUAAACUAAAAAUAUUUGCAUUUUUGAAAAUUGUAUUGUAAUUUGAAAAAAUGUUUGUGACUUUGAAAAAAUGUUCAGAAUGUAAAAUGUGAAUAAUGUUUUGAAAACCACAAAUAAAAUUGUGAAAAUGAACAUUUUCUGAGAGCACGGACAAAAAAUUAAAUUCCAAAGCAUUUUUCAGAAAUGAGACUAAAUAAAUGAUCUCAUAAAAUUAUUCUAAAUUUACACGAUUAUUUUUUAAAAUUUGUCAGAAUAUUUUUGAAAAUGAGAACAUUUUCUAAAUUCCGAACAAAUUCCAGUAGUCGCCCGACAAGAGCGAUGCCGUUGCUUAGUUGGGCAAGGCCUAAAGUUUUUUCUUUUCUAUUUUUUCGUUUUAUUCUCUUUUUUGUUAAUUUAUCUUUUCACCUUUUUGAACUUUAUGGUUCUUUUUUUUAACCUGCUCAAAAAAUUGAAAUACCAAAAUAAUAGUUUUAAGGAACUAUUUUAAAUUAUGAUUUUAAUUCUUUUUUUGUUUCAAUAUUUCUUAAAUGCUUUUUAAAAAGCAUCUGUUGUUUUCAAUUCUAUUAUUUAGUAUUUAUUGAUUAUUUUAGAAAUUUAAAAUGACAGUUUGAAGUAUCUAUAUAAAUUAUGAUUUUAAAUGACCCCAACAUUUGCCAGCUGGUGGCAUGGCCAUGGUAGGCAUCCAUGCCCCAAUAUUCUUUCAUGGCCUCGUAUGACCAAUUCAAUGCACCAUGACAAGUUGUUUUGGUUUUCGACAAAUUUUGUAUUUUUCUAGAGUUUUCUCGAUAAGAAAAUGCAAAAAAAGGCCGGACGUGUUGCAACUUUCAUACUGUGUCAGAAAUUGUUCAAACCUGGCAUGGAUGCCUAUGAGGGGCAUGCCCAUCUGGUGGCAAAAGUUGGGGCCAUUUUAAGGAUGUACUCCCUCCGUCCGAAAAUACUUGUCAUCAAAAUGGAUAAUAAGGGAUGUACGUAGAACUAAAAUACAUGUAGAUACAUCUCCUUUUAUCCAUUUUGAUGACAAGUAUUUUCGGACGGAGGAAGUAUAAAUAGACCAUGUUGAACAAACUGUGUUCUCGGGCAGAAGGAUUCGUCUGAGAGCAUGUUAGUUCUCGACAUCCUUGAAAUUAAUCCAAUUUUUUUCAAGGGCCUCGUAUGACCAAUUCAAGGCAUCAUGGAAAGUUGUUUGGGUUUUCAACAAGUUUUGCAUUUCCUGGAGUUUCUUGGUGAAAAAGUAACAAUUAAUGAUAGAACAUGUCGCAACGUGCAUACGGUGUCGGAAGUCAUUCAGACCAAGUAUGGAUGCCUAACAUGGGCAUGCCCACUUGCUUGCAAAAGUUGGGGGUAGUCCUGAUAUUUCCAAAGAAAUACCAUGUUGGAUGGAGAGUGUUCGAAUAGGCUAGAAGGAUCUGUUUGCGAGCUCCAUUUCUCAUGGCCUUGUAUAACCAAUUCAAGGCACCACACCAAAUUGUUUUGGUUUUGUCCAAUUUUGCGUUUUCUGAAGUUUUUGUGGUUAAGAAGGCCGAUAAAUGACCGGAUGUGUCAACACUUGAAUAUGGUGUAGAAAAACGUCCAAACUAGGCAUGUGCCUACCAUGGGCAUGCCUACCUUCUUGCAAAAGUGGGGUUCAUUUUAAAGAUGUUCAAAAAUAGACUAUGUUCAACGGAGAGUGUUCGAAUAGUGCAGAAGGGUCCGUUUGAAAGCUCGUUGUUUACUGACAUCUGUCAAAUAACCCCAAAUAUUUUUCAUGAGCUUCUAUGACCAAUUCAAGGCACAAUGCCAAUUUGUUUAGAUUUUUGAAAAGUUUUGUAUUUUCUAGAGUUUUCUCAUUGAAAGUAGGCCGAUAAAUGGUCGGACGUGUCACAACAUGUAAAGGGUGUCGGAAGUCAUUCAAACCUGGCGUGGAUGCCUCAUAUGUCCAAGCCAGGCUCUUGCAAGAAGGUGGGAUCAUUUAUCAAUAGCCUAAAAUAUACCAGUUAGAUGAGUUUAUUUCUAAUUCCCUUCAUUAUCACUCAACAUAAACAUUUUAUUUUUUCCUAACAAUUUCUUGAAAUUUCUCAACAAUUUUGGAACUUCAAAGUGUGUAUGAAAAAUUUACUAACUUGAACACUUUUUUCCAAAAUUGUUAACAAAUUACGAAAGAAUGAUGAAAAUUUCGAACAAAAAAGCAAACCGCGUACUUCUUAAAAAAAUUGUCAACUUUUUUGAAACACAUACAUUUCUUAAAUUUGUGAACAACAAAAUUCGAAAACUAGAACAUUUUAUGAAAUUCCAGAAUAUUUUUUAUAAUUUAAACAAUAUUUGAAAACAAAAUCAUUUUAUGUUAUGCCAAACAUUUUUUCCAAAAUUUGAACAAGUUUCACAAAGAUUAAUAAAGUUCAAAAGUAGAAAAAUGAAUUAACAAAAAGAGAAAAAAAAAGAAACUAACUGCAAUGAAAAAAAUGCUUAGGCCCUAGAAAAUAAGAAUGUUUCCGGAAAAUUUAAGUAUAUUUGGAAAAAUAUUCGUAAAUUUUAAAAAUUGUUUGUGUUUUUGAAUAAUGCUCGCCAAUUUGAAAAAGUUUUGCAUUUUAAAAAAAUGUUCAGAUAUUUCAAAAUUGUUUAUGUUUUCAAGAAAAUGGUCACAAAUGUGAUAAAUUAUUCAUCUUUUCAAAAAAAUCUGCAGUUUCAGAUAUAUGUUUACAAUACUGAAAAACUGUUCUUAAACUUUCAAAAAUAUUCACAAAAUCAAAGUAUUUUUCAUAAAAAAGGGUUCGGGAAUUUGAAAAAAAUGCGUUUCCAAAAGAAGUCCAAAUUUUGAAAAAUGUUUCGUAUUUUUAAAAAUAUUCCAAUAGAUGAAAAAACACAUUAGGUUUUUUAGCUAUAAAAAAUGCUUUAGCUAGAAUGUCCUGCCCAGUUGUGUUUUCCAAAAGAAGUCCGUGCACCAAUUUUGAUCUGCUAGAGUAUUUCUAGUAAAAAAAAAGCUCCUACAGUACGUCUGUUCUAGGUAAUAAACAACUACACUUCAAAAAUAUCAGCAAAUCCAGAUGGUUCUGGUGGCUAUUAGCAGUUUCCCAACCGCUGGAGGUCCUGUGUUCGAUGCCCAAUAGGCACACUAUGUUUUGGAUUUUUGAUCGGUGCUACCGCACAUACUCUCUCUAAUGGGCCGGCCCAAAAUAGACUCAGAACAUGACAGAUCUUCGCGACGUAUUUUCUUGAAAGACCAUCCUACUCUUUAUUAUGAAAAGGUAUAGACAGAUCUCGUCCAUUGAUGUAUUCGGGGGUUGUGCCGAAGAAGAAGAUAUAGACCUAUGAGGAAUUACGUAUGCAUGCUCAAGAACCUAUGUUCGUACAUACAUACACAAAAUCAUAUAGAACAAAAGGUAUGCUCCGGUCAGAAAGCAGAGUCGUACAGCAGAGUUUUGGACAAAAGUGAAGUUCACAAAAGACCUUCAUACGAGAUAGGCCAUUGUUUCAACUCGUAGUUUAGGCCUUGCCGGACUCCUCGCAACCCGGUGGCCUAAAGGCGAUGAAGCUGACGCACUGCACCUGGCGCAGGUUGUCGAAGCCGAUGACACGGACAUAGGCGUCAGGGUACUCCUUCUUGACCUCCUCCACCUCGUUCAGCACCUGUGUGGCGUCAGUGCACCCGAACAUAGGCAGCUUCCACAUUGUCCAGUAUCGGCCGUCGUAGUACCCGGGGGAGCUGUUGUGCUCACGGAAGACGAAGCCAACCUUGCUGAACUCGAGGCAGGGCACCCACUUUGAGCGGAUCAGGUAGUCGACCUGUUUCAGGAGGGCCUCCGUGGAUAGGGGUGGCAGGUAAGACAGGGUCUCGAACUUCUUGAUGCCCUCAAUUGGCCACACCUAAAUGAAUAGAAUGCGCACAGAUGCUCAAUACUUGGUGAUAAGUCAAUUAAUUGUACUAAACUACGCUAGAAAAAAUCAGUCGACAAGCCAAAAAUUGCUCCUUAUGGGCAGCUCUCAUAUGCAUUGCUGGGUUGUUCACAAUCAAUAAAGCUUUGGUUGUACUUAGUGCUAGUAUAUGGGUCCUAUUUCGAGGAUGGGUUUGGUUAUAUACAUUGGGGAUGUUCUGCAAGUGAAUUACUUGCACUGACAAAGAAACUCAUAUCUGUUUAAUUAGUGCCCGACAUACCUGCAUGCACCUGAUCCUUCCGCCAUUGCUGACGCUGCUGAG
rnacentral:lncRNA from 1 species